rnacentral:rRNA from 1 species
UAUUUAUCUAUUAAUUAUUAUUUUAUAAUUUUUUUUAAUAAAAAUAUUUUUGGUUUGAGUAUUACUUAUGAAAUAAAUGUAAUUUUUAUAGUUUAUAGUACUGUGAAGGAAUUAGGUUAAAUAUAAUUUAAGUAAUCAUUUUUGAUUUACCUUUUGUAUCAGGGUUUACCAAAUUUUCUAAUUUAUUUUUUUUUCUCGAAAUUUUAAGGGUUAUAUUUUUAUGUUAUUUAAUGUUUCAACAUUUUUUAUAAUAAAAAUAUAGUGAAUAUAUUUUAUUCAAUUAAAAAUAUCUAGUUUUUUAAGAUAUGGGUUUAAUCCAUGAAUAAAUUUAUCUGUUUCGUUAAAUUUUAAUUUAUUUACCCCUAAGAAAGGAUAAGCUCUUUUGGGAUUCUAAAAAUUUAAAAGUAUUUAUUUUAUGUAGGAUUAAUAAUUUUCAUCUUUUAUUUUGUAAAAAUUAUUUUUAAUUUAUUUUUUAUUUCUUUUAUUUUAGUUUCAUAUUAAAAUUAAGAAAGUAACUUUUACUUUCUUGUAAAAAUGAUAAAAUCAGUAUUUUAUUAAAAUAAUUUAUGGUAACUCGGCAAAUAUAAUUUUCACCUGUUUAACAAAAACAUGGUCUUUUGUUUAUAUAAAAGAUCUGGCCUGCCCGAUGUUUAUUGAAUGGCUGCAGUAUAUUGACUGUACAAAGGUAGCAUAAUCAUUUGUCUCUUAAUUAGAGUCUGGAAUGAAUGGUUGGAUGAAAAAUUACCUUUCUUUAUUUUAAAUAAAAAAAUUAAUUUUUAAAUUAAAAAGUUUAAAUGAUUGUAUAGGACGAGAAGACCCUAUAGAACUUUAUCCCCCUUAGUUAAUUAUUUACUUGUAAAUAAUUUUUAUUUAUUCUAAGGGGGAUUUUGUUGGGGUGACAAAAAAAAUUUUAUAACUUUUUUUACUUAAUUCAUUAAUUUAUGUAUUUUUGAUCCUUUAUUAUGGAUAAAAGAUUAAGUUACCUUAGGGAUAACAGCGUUAUUGUUUUAGAGAGUUCAUAUCGAUAAAAUAGUUUGCGACCUCGAUGUUGGAUUAAAAUAAGUUUCAGGAGCAGAAAAUUGAUUAACUGGGUCUGUUCGACCUUUAAAUUUUUACAUGAUCUGAGUUCAGACCGGCGUAAGCCAGGUUGGUUUCUAUCCUUAUUUUGCUAUAAAGUUUUAGUACGAGAGGACCACUACUUUAAAAAUAUUUUUUAUUUUUUGACUUGAUU